rnacentral:rRNA from 1 species
CGGGGGGGGCAAGCGUUGUCGGAAUUACUGGGCGUAAAGGGCUCGUAGGCGGCCAACUAAGUCGGAUGUGAAAUCCCCAGGCUCAACUUGGGAACUGCAUCCGAUACUGGAUGGCUUGAAUCCGGGAGAGGGAUGCAGAAUUCCAGGUGUAGCGGUGAAAUGCGUAGAUAUCUGGAGGAAUACCGGUGGCGAAGGCGGCAUCCUGGACCGGCAUUGACGCUGAUGAGCGAAAGCUAGGGGAGCAAACGGGAUUAGAUACCCCGGUAGUCCUAGCCCUAAACGAUGAAUGCUUGGUGUGGCGGGUAUCGAUCCCUGCCGUGCCGAAGCUAACGCAUUAAGCAUUCCGCCUGGGGAGUACGGUCGCAAGGCUG